rnacentral:rRNA from 1 species
UACGUAGGGGGCUAGCGUUGUCCGGAAUCAUUGGGCGUAAAGAGCGUGUAGGCGGCCCGGUAAGUCCGCUGUAAAAGUCAAAGGCUCAACCUUUGAAUGUCAGUGGAUACUGCCGGGCUAGAGUCCGGAAGAGGCGAGUGGAAUUCCUGGUGUAGCGGUGAAAUGCGCAGAUAUCAGGAGGAACACCGAUUGCGAAGGCAGCUCGCUGGGACGUAACUGACGCUGAGACGCGAAAGCGUGGGGAGCAAACAGG